ACUACGGGAGGCAGCAGUGGGGAAUAUUGCACAAUGGGGGAAACCCUGAUGCAGCGACGCCGCGUGAAGGAAGAAGGAUCUAGGUAUGUAAACUUCCAUUAGCAGGGAAGAAAAUGACGGUACCUGACUACGAAGCCACGGCUAACUACGUGCAAGCAGCCGCGGCAAUAUGUAGGGGGCAAGCGUUAUCCGGAUUUCCUGGGUGUAAAGGGAGCGUAGGCGGUUUAACAAGUCAGAGGUGAAAGCCCGGGGCUCAACUCCGGGACUGCUUUUGAAACUGUUGAACUAGAUUGCAGGAGAGGUAAGUGGAAUGUCUGGUGUAGCGGUGAAAUGCGUAGAUAUUAGGAGGAACACCAGUGGCGAAGGCGGCUUACUGGACUGUAAAUGACGCUGAGGCUCGAAAGCGUGGGGAGCAAACAGGAUUAGAUACCCGAGUAGUC
rnacentral:rRNA from 1 species